AGUCCACACAGAACCUCAUCUGUCCAUUCUUUUUAGGAACGAGUACCACAGGACUACACCAGUCACUCACUGAAGGUUCGAUGAUGCCUAAAUCUUUCAUCUGUUCCAGCUCCUCUCUGAAAACCUCUUGUAGGCAUGCAGGAAUCCUACAGUAGGAUGUUCUCACAGGACCUGGGGAUGUAAGAUGUUCCAAUGAUGGUCCUUCUUGGGCUUCUCUGCAUGAUGACUGCUCCUCCGAUUCCUCUUCUUCCGGAACGCUAUGAAUCGAUAGCUGACUGAAGAGGGUUUCCUUUAGCACAGAAAGGGGUCCUCGCACAUACCGACCAUACAAUAGCUCAAACGGAGAGAAUCCAGUAGAUUCCUGUGGAACCUCCCAGUAAGCA